rnacentral:rRNA from 1 species
GGGAGCUAAUUAUUAUAUAUUUAUAGAUAUUAAGAUGUUGCAUAAUUAAGUAAAUAAUAAUUAGGAGUGAUAGGCUUUUCACAUUCAACGAUAACUUGAUGAUUUAGAAAUGUAUUAGUACAUUUUCACCUUUAAAGUGAUAAGGUUUUAAAGGAUUAACAAAUGGUUAUUACAUAAUACAUAUAGUGUUUAAUCACUAAUAUAUAAUAAAUUAUAAUAUUAAUUUAUUUGUAUUGUUUAAUUUAUAAAUCUAUAGAAAUAAUAAUUAUAUAUAUAUAUAAUGUUAAUAUUAGUAUAAGAGAGUUAUUAAUAACGAACUCGGCAAUAAGUCUUUCAACUGUUUAUCAAAAACAUAGCUGCAUGAAUUAAUAUGUAGUGUUUUCUGCUCAAUGAAUAUUAAAUAGCCGCAGUACUCUGACUGUGCUAAGGUAGCGCAAUCAAUUGACUUUUAAAUGAAGUCCAGUAUGAAAGAAAUUAUGAAGGGCUACUUUUUCAUUAAUAAUAAAUGAAUUUACUUAAGAAGUGUAAAUUCUUUUAUAUAAAUAAUAGACGAGAAGACCCUAGAAAUUUUAAAGAAUCAUCUUUUUGUUGGGGCAACAAAGUAGCAUUAUUAAAUCUACUAUAAUGACACGAAAGAUAUGUCUUGAGAGAUUAAAUUACUCUAGGGAUAACAGCAUAAUUUAUUAAAGUUUGUGACCUCGAUGUUGGAUUAGGGAAUUU